GACGAACGCUGGCGGCGUGCUUAACACAUGCAAGUCGAACGGAAAGGCCCUGCUUUUGUGGGGUGCUCGAGUGGCGAACGGGUGAGUAAAACGUGAGUAACCUGCCCUUGACUUUGGGAUAACUUCAGGAAAAUGGGGCUAAUACCGGAUAGGAGCUCCUGCUGCAUGGUGGGGGUUGGAAAGUUUCGGCGGUUGGGGAUGGACUCGCGGCUUAUCAGCUUGUUGGUGGGGUAGUGGCUUACCAAGGCUUUGACGGGUAGCCGGCCUGAGAGGGUGACCGGCCACAUUGGGACUGAGAUACGGCCCAGACUCCUACGGGAGGCAGCAGUGGGGAAUAUUGCACAAUGGGCGGAAGCCUGAUGCAGCAACGCCGCGUGCGGGAUGACGGCCUUCGGGUUGUAAACCGCUUUCGCCUGUGACGAGGCGUGAGUGACGGUAAUGGGUAAAGAAGCACCGGCUAACUACGUG
rnacentral:rRNA from 1 species